GGCAAAUGAUGAGUUCAACUUCAGGUCCGUGUUUUUGACAAUGCUGAUAAUAGAUGAAGUUCUGAUAUG